rnacentral:tRNA from 1 species
GAGAGAGGCCAGAAGCAGUAAGGACUGCUAACCCCUACCCCCAUGGUUAAACUCCAUGGCUCACUCG